AUGCUUGAAGAAUGAUGUAAAUGGAGCCCUUGAACAACAUAUAGUUUGGCUGCAGAGAAUGACAAAGACUCACCAUUUUGGAAAAUUACCCAACCCCAAGAACUUAACAUUUUAGACAAAAUUGGAAAAUUAACAAGUAAAGCAAGGGAAGGAGAGAAUACACAUCAAACAUCAGGAUGGUUUGUAACUGGUUUAUUCUAGGAUCUACCGGUUUCGGUCUUUCAAGACCUUCAUCAGGAUAUAUUUCAAAGAAAAAUGAUUACUGAAGUAUACAGAAUGUGACGUAUGUUACUAUAAAUAGACAUAUAAAUGCGUUUAUCUGGGCUAAGUGCCAAGUUUUUCUGGGCAAAGUGACAAGUUAUUUUUCCAUGUAAAAUGUUUCAAAUGUUGGAUAACCACAGAUCAUAUCUAUGUCAAAGACCAUUUUACAGCAUGGUUUAAGAGUCCAUAUUAACCUAAAAUGAUUGUUUUGCAUAAAUGUAGUUCUAACUCUGAAGUCUUAAGUUGAUUUAAUAGUUACUGAGGAGAAAUUAGUUAGUUUCAGUAUUAACAAACUAAAAUUCUUCAUUUUUAUGAGUAAAUAUGUAGAUGUUAAUUGGGAUUUCCUGUGGAAGUUUCCAUUAUGUAAUUUUGCAACAAAUGUAUAUGUAUAACUUAAAUUCUGGCUGUUGGUUCUUUCCAUCUAAAGUAUAAAUGGGUUUUGAAGAGCUUUGAUUAGUUUAAAGUAUCUGUAAUCUUAUUAAAUAGUAUUUUGUAAAAUUGGAAAAUAUUAACACUGUAUUCUAUAUCAGAUAAAGAAAAUCAGGUAAUUGGUUCAUUCAAAUCCUUUUAUAUUGCACCUAUAAACACAUUUUAAAAUUUGGAUUCGAAACAAAGUAUUUACUUCAGUACAGUGUAGUUAAGAUGUUUUUCACAUAAUGAAUUCAUUCUGGAAACAGUUAGUUAAUAAAAGUUAAUAAUUAUCUAUUACACAAACUUUUUUAUCUCCAACAUUUCAGCUGUAAAACCUCUCUUUUUCAAGGACUUUCUGUUCAUUUUUAUAAAUUUUUUACAUGUCUUAUCUUACACUAUGUUAUCAUAAACAGAAACUCUUUGAAAAAGAGGGGUUUAACCGCUGAAACAUUGGGAGAUAGAAAAGUUUGUGUAAUAGAUAAUUUUCACAUAAUGGAAACUUUUUUUAAUUUUAGUUGUGUUUUUCCCUGAAUUAAGAUUUUAUUUUUGGGAAAAUGACCCAAUAUGGGCCGCGCAUAUCGUCGGCUUGUUCCGGUCCGACACUUCAACUCAGAGUUAUGGCCCUUGAUUAGUUAUGCAGUUUGCAUAUAGAGUAAAAAUCGUUUCCGCGCUACUUCUCUGCAACUACUGGCUGGAAUUCAACGAAACUUUAUGGGAACCUUCAAUAUCAAGAGGGGAUGCGCAUAUCGUCGGCUUGUUCCGGUCAGACACUUUAACUCAGAGUUAUGACCCUUGAUUAGUUAUGCAGUAUGCAUAUAGAGUAAGAAUUGUUUCCGUGCUACUUCUCUGCAACUACUUGCUGGAAUUCAACGAAAUUUUAGGGGAACCUUCAAUACCAAGAGGAGAUGCGCAUAUGGUCCCCUUGUUCCGGUCAGACACUUUAACUCAGAGUUAUGGCUCUUGAUUAGUUAUGCAGUAUGCAUAUAGAGCAAAAAUCGUUUCCGCGGUACUUCUCUGCAACUACUGGCUGGAAUUCAACAAAACUUUAUGGGAACCUUCAAUACCAAGAGAAGAUGCGCAUACCAUUGCCUUGUUGGGGUCAGACAUUUUAACUCAGAGUUAUGGCCCUUGAUUAGUUAUGAAGUAUGCAUAUAGAAAAAUAUUCGUUUAUGCGCUACUUCUCUGCUGGCUGGAAUUCAAUGAAACUUUAUUGGAACCUUCAAUACCGAGAGGAGAUGGGCAUAUGGUCGCCUUGUUCGGGUCAGACAUUUUAACUUAGAGUUAUGGCCCUUGAUAACUUAUGCAGUAUACAACCAGAGCAAUAAUAGUUUCCGUGCUACUUCUCUGUAACUACUGGCUGGAAUUCAAUGAAACUUCAUGAGAUACGAAGAGGAGAUGUGCAUAUAGUCGCCUUGUUCCGGUCAGUAUGCAUACAACUCAUUGGCAUUUCCAGAUAUUACUAUUUAACACACAGUUAUGGCUCUGUUAUUGCCCUGAAUAUUUAUCAAGUUCAAAGAAUAUUACUGUUUAUGCCAUGAUAUAUAUAUAAAUAAAGCCUUAUGUCUUCAGUUGUUGUGUUAGUAAUAACUAGUACUCGGCGGGGGAUAUAAAUUCAACGAAUUUGCUUGUUCACACAAAAAAAACCAUAUCUAUCCAUUCUAAAUAUGUAAAUAUUAACAGUUGUUUAAUAUUUCAAGUGGACAAUGUAAAAAUAAAACAAGAUUUGUUGCAUGGUAAAUGACCUAAUUAUAUUGGGCUGGUGAUUGUCAGCAUGCCUCUUUGAUGUGAUCAAAGGUCUGUCAGGUCUUUUGGACUUUGUCAAAUAACCCAAUUAAAAUGUUAACAUCUUGAUGUGGUUGCCUACUGCACAUGUUUGUUCUUUUUGUAAGCUGAUAUUCAAUCUCUGACACAGCGGUCCACGACAAACCUAACAACAGCUUAAAACUAGCGAUUUAAAAGAAAGAUAUAUUUUUAUUUUGUUACAAGUAUCCAACAAAUUACAACAAUUUCAAAGUUUAAAAGUAGCUUUGGGUUAUAGAAUUGUCAAUAAAUGCACAAUCACAAAUUACGUGGAUGAAUAUGAUUUUUAAAUCAAUGAAAAUGCUAUUUUUAGCGAUGUUAAUCAGAGCUUAUUACACAAAUAAAUCUGACUGUCGAGUAGUGGAAUAUAUACAUGUUGGACUGUUUUGGGGAGAAGAUUUUCGCUAAAUUAUUUACAUCAUUGUUAAACAAUAGGUUUAUCGUGAAUAAAAUACCUUGAAAUUAAUAAGGAAAACCCGAAAUGCAAUGGAAAUUUUAAUUUAGUAUUACUUGAUUUUAUUCAGACUUACUUCGUAUAACUUCUCUGUGGUGCAGGGGUUACUUGCUUGUUUAGUGUGUUAGAGGUCUGGGGUUCAAAUUCCAUUCGAGGCAACUUUUUUUUAAAAGUUUCUUUGUUAAGGAAGUAGCCACCAUAUGCAAGGAUAAAGUGUCUGGCUGUCAUAAAAAAUUAACAUAAAUGAUUUUUUGAUACAACUCUAGUCAUGCAAAAUUCCGUAUGUAUCAAACUCUUGUGCCCUGCAAGAUGAAUUAUAGUACAUAAAAAUAAACUUAUACAUACAGAUAUACAGUACGAUUUAGAUUGCAAAGAUCAGAAAAUACCAGAGAGCUUGCAGCCCUUUGAUUUUAUCUGGAAUGAUACAAAUAGCAAAGGUGAUAUUUAAACCUAACUCGAAUAUAUUCUCAUUAAUAUCAAAAAAAUAGAGAAAAACAGAAUCCCUAAAGAAAGCCCAACACCGUAAAAUUGUAAAAUGUUGCAGGCUCGGUUUGAUUGAGCCUGUUCAUGGACGGCACUGGAAAGUGCAAGUUACCAUCCACGCCCCCUAGCACCGGCUUAAGCAGAAUUCAACAUUUAAACACAAAAAUGGUGAAAUUUUGAAUUUAGCAACAUCAAGUCACAGAAUUUUAUAACAGAAUUAGAAUGCAUGCUCUUUAAUUAAAAAAAAAACUUGACAAAGGUGUUGAUUAAUAUUAAAAGUUUAGUCUGAAAAAAUGUCUAUUAUGAAAAAAAAAAAAAAAUUAAAACAAAAAACGAUUAUGAAAAGUUUCGGCAUGUCUAAGUGUUUACAUGUACCCCGACUGAUUACUUAUUAAUUCUGUGCAUAUAAUUGCGAGAUAUUAUGUCAAUUUUGUACCAAAAAUAACUUUUUAUAUACUCAAAAUCACUUAAUCCCUUGUUAAAAAUACAUACAGAUCAUGUCAAGGAUCUGCUAUUUAAAAUGUUUUAUUCUCUGCUAAGACGCAUUUAUUUUGCGACAUGACUCAUUGAUUUUGCUACUGGACUCAUUCUAGAUUAAUCACUGAGUUGUUUUGAAUUAUCUCCUUUUAUAAUACAUGUAUUUAAUAAUGCUAAUCUGGAGAAUAGCUUGAAAGGUAUUGAAGACAUGAGGAAGCGCAGUGUCUAAGAAAUAUAAUACUACCUUACUUAGAUUUUGAACGCUAACCUUUCAUAAUAAGUCAAAAAUGCUUGUCUUUUUUAUGCAGCCUUUAUUUAUUUUGUCUCCCAAAAUUUUUGGGAGACAUAUUGUUUUUGCCUUCGCUGUCUGUCUGUCUGUCCCUUAUUCCAAUUCGGCUGGACAUUCGUAUAUACGGUUGUUGUCCGGUUGUCCAUCUGUCCGUAUUCAGCUUGUCCGACCUUCACAGGUCUAACUAUUUUUCAAUCAAACUUUACAGGAGUGAUCAGUACCAUCCCUAGCUGUGCACAUCACUGGCCAUUCCACUUCCCUGCACAAAAUGGCGGCCAGAGAUUAAAAUAGAGAAAUCUUGUCAGGCCUUCACAGGUCAAACUACUGGUGGGAUUUCAACCAAACUUUACAGGAGUGAUCAGUAUCAUCCAUAGUUGUGCACAUCUUUGGCACUUUCUGAUUUGCUGCACGAAAUGGCCCCCAGAGCUAAAAAUAGAAAAUUUUUGUCCGGCCUUCACAGGUCAAAUUACUGGUGGGAUUUCAACCAAACUGUACUGGAGUGAUCAGUACCAUCCCUUGUUGUGUACAUCAUUGGCACAUUCCACUUCUCUGCACAAAAUGGGCACCAGAGUUAAAGAUAAAUAAAUCUUUCAGGCUUUAACAGAUCAAAUUGCAGGUGGGAUUUCUAACAAACUUUACAGGAGUGAUCAGUACCAUCCGAAGUUGUGCACAUCGCCAGCACGUUCUGCAUGCUGCACAAAAAUUGCCAACAGAGCUAAAAAUAGAAAUAUCUUGUCCUGCCUUCACAGGUCAACCUACUGGCUGUAUUUCAAUCAAACUUUACUGGAGUGAUCAGUACCAUCCCUUGUUGUGCACAUCACAGGCAUGUUCUGCUUCGCUGCACAAAAUGGCCACCAGAGCUGAAAAUAUAAAAAUUUUGCCCGGCUUUCAAAGGUCAAAUUGCUGGUUGGAUUUCUACCAAACUUUACAGGAGUAAUCAGUACCAUCCAAAGUUGUGCACAUCGCCGGCACCUUCGGCAUGCUGCACAAAAAUUGCUGCCAGAGCUAAAAAUAGAAAAAUCUUGUCUGGCCUUCACAGGUCAAACUACUGGUGGUAUUUUCAAUCAAACUUUACAGGAGUAAUCAGUACCAUCCCCAUCGGCACAUUUCACUGUGCUGCACAAAAUGGCAGCCAGAGCUUAAAAUAGAAAAAUCUUGUCCAACUUUCACAGGUCAAACUACUGGUGGGAUUUCAACCAAACUUUACAGGGGUUACCAUACAUAGUUUUGGGAGACAUAUGUGUUUGUGUCUGGUGUCUUUCAUUAUUUUUAUUAUAGGUAGAAAGCUUUGGGUGGAAUUUGGAUCAAUAUGAAAGUUUUUGAUGCUAAAAAUUAACUAUUAUGCAUUUAAAUAUGUUGACAAAUGUACUGAUCAACAGAACAUCCAUCAGCUUAAUGAUAUUUUGGUUGUUUUUCUGCCUCCACUUUAAGGUGGGGGGGGGAGGGGGCAUUUAGAUUUACCCUUGUCUGUCCUUCUGUCCAUCCGUUCUCAUUUUGUGUUGCAUGUAGCUUAAACAGUAUUUGACCUAGAGUCAUGAAACUUUACAGAAAUGUUGAUCAGCAUGUGUAGUUGUGCACCUGAGUAUUUUUGUGUGUAUAAAUUUAGUAUUGUUAGAGUUAUUGCCCUUGACUUCUUAAAAAUUUGCAAUUUUCAACUUCAGUGUAGCAUGUAGCUCAAAAAGUAUUUGACCUUAAGAGUCAUGAAACUUUACAGAAAUGUUGAUCAGCAUGUGUAGUUACUCAGUGCACCUGGGUAUUUUUGUGUGGAUAUAUUUAGUAUUUUUAGAGUUAUUGCCCUUGACUUAGUAAAAAUUUGCAAUUUUCAACUUGUGUCACACAUAGCUCAAAAAGUAUUUGAACUAGAGUCAUGAAACUUUACAGGAAUGUUGAACAACAUGUGUAACUGUGCACCUGGGUGUUUUCGUGGGGAUAUAUUUAGUAUUGUUAGUUAUUGCCCUUGACGUAGUAAAAUUUUUCAAUUUUCAACUUGUGUCGCAUGUAAUUCAAAAAGUAUUUGACCUAGAGUCAUGAAACUUUACAGGAAUGUUGAUCAGCAUGUGAAGUUGUGCACCUAGGGUUUUGCUUGUUGAUUUAUUCUGUUUGUCAGAGUUAUUCUGGUAUUUGCAUGUGAAUUUUUUCUGUUGAGUUAUUGCCCUUGACUUAGUAUAAAUUUGCAAUUUUAACUUGUUCAUGCAUAGCUCAAAAAGUAUUUGACCUGUAGGCCUGAAGUUUACAAGAAUGUUGGUCAGCAUGUUAACGUAUGUACCUUGGGGUUCUCUUGUGGAUUUAUUCAGUAUUUGUAAAGUUCUUGCCCUUUACUUGGUAGUUUUCAACUUGUGGCACAUGGAGCCCAAAACAUAUUUGACCUAGAGUCAUAAGACUGACAAAACAGUGGAGUGUUGGGGCACCCGUGUCCUAUGGACACAUUUCUAGUUUUCAAAGAGGCACAUCAUGAGUGCCUCACUUAAAUGCAAAAUAAUAUUUAUUUAUUCCCUACUGAUUCAAAGAAAGUGAUUGUGUAUCAUUAAAAUACAAUACAUAUUUUUUUAUUUACAAUCAGUUUCAGGAAAAUUUAUGAUUUACUGUUCAAUCCAAAUAUGAUUUUAUUGUUUCCUAAAUUUUCUAGAUGGAUGCACUUAGGACUGUAAUUGCAUUGGAAUGGCCUUUGGGGAAUUUCUUCCUGAUACAAACAACUGAUACAAACAUAUACUGGCAGAUCUCUUAGAAAUCAGAUUUUUUUUAAAUGGUUAUUACAGGCUACAGUCACUUUAAGCUUGUGCAAGGAAUUUUCUUGUUUUGUUGGCAAUAGUGUAAACUAAAUUACUAUGCCAAAUUAUUAUAUUUUUGAUAUUUUUCUGUUUGACUUUCUAAAUGUUUUAAAGCUGUUUGCCAAAAUGUUGCAUUGCCUUCACUAUUACUUAAUGUGUGUUUUAACCAUUUUGGUAUGCUUUACAAUAAACAAAGAGUGAAAAAAAAUUAACAUUUUCUCUCUGUACCAGUAUGUAUUCAUUUCCUGUUGUAAAGUCCUGUGUACUUCAUACAGAAUUCAGUUCAGUUUUGUGUAAGCUUAUUGAAACACUCAUGAAUCAUUUCCUGGAACCAACCAGUAUUAAGCAAUGUGUUAAGUGUUUCUUGCUCAAGAAAACUGCUUGCCCCUGACAUGUUGAACCCACGAAGCCUGCAAUCCUUAGAUUACUACUCUCCGCUGAGUUGAUCACUCGGCCUAUCUGCAUUAGGAGGCUGUUAAGCCACUCUUAAAAAAUUAUCUGUUUGCUAUUGCCGGCCGACCUGGCGAAAAUGCCCCGACUCAAAAGUUUUUUUCAGCUUAAAAAAAUCAGAUUUCCACCAAAUCAGCCAGGGCAUUCGACCCAAAAAAUUCCCCCGAAAACAAAAAUAAAAUCGGAGGAAAAUCACACAUUUAAUAUGUAACAAGUAACGAGUGAUCAUUCAUGAAAAUUAGGGUGUUACUAUUUAAAGUAUUUACAUAAAUAGCGACCAUCCAGGGAAGGACAUUUUCCUUAUGUCACGCAGUACCGCAUGCGCACGGCAAUUAAGUUGAAUAAACUAAUUAUAGAACGUAUCAAAUUAAGGUGUGGAAACUGGAUUAAAAAUAAUGUUUGUUUAAUUAAUGAAUAUUUGUAAAGCAUAUAUAUGGUCACUAGUUUACCAUGUGGUAAUUUUAAUGUGCUUUGGGGUACAUGUUCGUUUGUUUAUGACUGCCGAUACAGAUUAAAUACUUAGCCCAUGCAAUAAAACAUUUCUGGUAGCAGCGGGGAUUCUGUCAUAAAAUUGACCGAAAAAAUUAAUUUUUGGAAGCUGUGGUCCUUUCAUAUGCAUUAUUGUUUUGAUAGCAGACACAAGUAUUGCACAAUAUCUUCAAGAUCAUAAAAAUGUAAAUAAAAUAUCACAAUCAAAAUGCACUUACGAUUAAUAAUAUGUCAAUAAUUGACACAAUAAAUAUCCAACAUUUUUUUUUACUUGAGCAAUAAUUAAACAUGUGUAAUCAUUCCUUGACAAAAAGAAAUGACAGUUUUUUUUCUGAUGUAUAAAAAAGAGGCGGAAGUCAAUUGAGUGUCGGCACUUCUUUCAUGAUUCGGCAACAACUACAGGUGUGUAAACAUCAAAGAUUCACAGAUUCUUCAGAAGUGCAGACAGGUCAUUUCAUGUGUAAAUUUUGUAUUUAUUAUUUAACUAUGGAAACAUUAUAUUCCUUUUAUUUAUGGAUGCUACUUUUUGUGCGAGUGUUUUUGUGUCUUUUAGCGCUAUGGAAUAUCAACAAUCGGCGAUAAUUUUCGGUAACUAACAAAUAUUUUAACAUUUUUAAAACAGGAGUACAAAUAUCCGCCAUUCAGAAAUUAUAGGAGACAAAUCUUGCGUGUGUUAUUUUUUACAGACGUGUAAUAAAUUGAGUUAUGAUCACCCGUGAGAACGAAAUGUCCCAGUGAUCCACUAUAAUUUUUCCAGUUCGUACGGGAAUAUUUACGCAGGAUUAGUUUAUCACAUCGGUAAUUUGACCAUGCUUGAAUUUAUGUCCACAUAGUCAUUUUUUAUUUGUUUGGGUCGUCAGACCAAACAAAUAAUGGUAGCGAAAUUUCAGACUCUAAUGCUGUUAAUUGCAAGUGCCGAAAGAAGUCCGCUUUUUUGAAGCGGUUACUUCCCUUUAUAUGUAACAC